rnacentral:rRNA from 1 species
AUGAAAAUUAGUGGAUGGAAGGAAAAAUUGUUAUCCUCUGGAGGGAAGGAAAUUUUGCUCAAAUCUGUUGUACAAGCUAUCGCUACCUAUGCCAUGUCCGUCUUUAAAAUUCCUAAUUGCAAAGGAAUUAUUAACGCGAUGUCACAUUUUUGGUGGGGUGACGAGGACAAUCAGAAGAGGAUGCAUUGGAUACCAUGGUGGAAAAUGUGUGUUCCAAAAGAUCAAGGAGGUAUGGGCUUCCGAGAUAUACACUGUUUCAACCUGGCGCUAUUAGCUAAACAAGCGUGGCGUCUUCUUGAUAAUCCUGAAUCUUGA